AUAACUUUUAAUAAUAGAUCUCUUAGUUCUAGUAUUAAUAAAGAACGCAGCAAAAUGCAAUAAGUAGUGUAAAUUAUAGAAUUUAGUAAAUUAUUAAAUCUUUAAACGCACAUUGCGCCCCUUAGUAUUCUAUAGGGCAUGCCUAUUUAAGCGUUAUUUGUACCCUUAAGCUCUGCUUAGUGUUAGGUGUUUGUUUUACUUAGGACUUGCCUUAAAAUAAUUAGUAGCUAGUAUAUUAGCCUAGAGCGCAGCAUAUUUUACGCCUCUUAUUAUAGUUGUUAGCAUCUAUUAAGACACUUUUUAAGCUCUUAACCUUAGAUUAGGUAGGGAUACCUGCUAAACUUAAGCAUAUUAAUAAGCAGAGGAAAAGAAACUAAUAGGGAUUGCCCUAGUAAUAGCGAGUGAAGCGGCAACAGCUUAAAUUUAAAAUCUAGCUCUUUUAGGGUCCAAGUUAUAAUUUGCAGAGGGCGCUUUAGCAUUAGCAGUGGUCUAAGUUCCUUAGAAUAGGACGUUAUAGAGGGUAAGAAUCCUAUACGUAGUUGCUAGCCUUCGCCGUAUAAAGCCCCUUUAACAAGUUAAGUUAUUUAGGAAUAUAGCUCUAAAUAGGAGGUAAAUUUCUUCUAAAGCUAAAUACUAGCUAGAGACUAAUAGCGCACAAGUAGAGUAAUUAAAAGAUAAAAAGCACUUUAGAAAGAGAGUUAAAUAGCACGUGAAAUUGUUAAAAGGGAAGCGCUUGCAGCUAGACUUGCCUAUAGUUACUUAUCUAGGCUUUUGUCUAGUGCACUCUUCUAUAGGCAGGCUAGUAUUAGUUUAGGUAGUUAGAUAAAGGUCUCUGUUACGUACCUCCCUUUAGGGAGGCCUUAUAGGGGAGACGACAUGCAACUAGCCUAGACUAAGGUCUGCGUAUCUGCUAGGAUGCUAGCGUAAUAGCCGUAAGCGGCCCGUCUUAAAAUAUAGACUAAGGAGUCUAAUAUCUAUGCAAGUGUUUAGGUGUUAAGCCUAGACGCGUAAUAAAAGUAAACAGAGGUAGAACCCCUUUUAGGGUGCACUAUUAACUAAUCCUAAUAUCUUUAGAAGGAUUUAAGUAAGAGUAUAGCUAUUAGGACCUAAAAGAUAGUAAACUAUACUUAAAUAGGGUAAAGCUAGAGGAAACUCUAGUAGAGGCUCGCAGUAGUUCUAACGUGCAAAUUAAUUGUUAAAUUUAGGUAUAGGGGCAAAAGACUAAUCAAACUAUCUAGUAGCUAGUUCCUGCUAAAGUUUCCCUUAGGAUAGCAGUAACGUAUUUAGUUUUAUAAGGUAAAGCGAAUAAUUAGAGGCCUAGGGGUUAAAACAACCUUUACCUAUUCUUAAACUUUAAAUAUAUAAGAAGUCCUUAUUACUUAAUUAAACAUAGACACUUAAAUAUACUAUUACUAGUAGGCUAUUUUUAGUAAGUAGAACUAGCAAUACAGGAUAAACUAAACGCGGGGUUAAGGUGCUAGAAUACACGCUUAUUAGAUACUACAAAAGGUGUUAGUUUAUCUAGAUAGUAGGAUAGUAGCUAUAGAAGUUAGAAUCUACUAAGGAGUGUAUAAUAACUUACCUGCUAAAUAAACUAGCCCUAAAAAUAGAUAGCGCUUAAGCGUGUUACCUAUACCCUGCUGCUAGGGCAAGAUUUAAGCCCUAGCAAGUAGGCAGGCAUAGAGGCUUGUAACAAAGCCUUAGGGGUAACCCUAGGUAGAACGGCCUCUAGUAUAGAUCUUAGUAGUAGUAGCAAAUACUUAAAUAAGAACUUUAAGGACUAAAGUAGGGAAAGGUUCUAUAUAAAUAGUAGUUAGACACAGGUUAGUUAAUCCUAAGAGAUAGGGUAAUUCUGUUUUAAUAUUAGCGCUUACGCCGCGCCCUUAAAAGGGAAGCUAGUUAAUAUUCUAGCACCUAGAUGUAGAUUCUCCACGGCAACGCAACUAAGAGCAGAGACCUUAGCAGGAGCCCUAAGAAGAGUUCUCUUUUCUUCUUAACAGUCUAUUACCCUAAAAUUAGUUUAUCUAGAGCUAGGGUUUAAUAGCUAGAAGAGCGCUACACUUUUAUAGCAUUUAGUGCGCUCCUAAUAAGCCUUAAAAAUCUACUUAAAGAAAUAGUUUUUACGCUAGGUUAUACUUAUAACCACAGCAGGUCUCUAAGGUAAAAAGCCUCUAGUUAAUAGAAUAAUAUAGAUAAGGGAAGUUAGUAAAAUAGAUCUGUAACUUUAGGAAAAGGAUUAGCUCUAAGGGUUAGGUACGUUAGGCCUUAGGGAGAAGCCUCUAGCGCAGAAGGGCACUAACUACAAGGUAGGCGCCUCUUAGCGCUAGGGUGCAGACACCCUUAGCAGGUUUUGGCUGUCUAGCGUAUAUUUAAUAACUAACUUAGAACUAGUAUAGAUAAGGGGAAUCUAACUAUCUAAUUAAAAUAUAGUAUUGUAAUAGCUAGAAAGUAGUAUUAAUAUAAUGUAAUUUCUGCCUAGUGCUCUAAAUAUUAAAGCAAAGAGAUUUAACUAAGCACAGGUAAAUAGUAGGAGUAACUAUAACUCUCUUAAGGUAGCUAAAUGCCUUAUUAUCUAAUUAGUAACGCAUAUAAAUAGAUUAACAAGAUUCCUACUAUCCCUAUCUACUAUCUAGCAAAACCACAGCUAAGGGAACAGGCUUGGCUAAAUUAGCGGGGAAAGAAGACCCUAUUAAGCUUAACUCUAGUUUAAUAUUAUAAAAAGAUAUAGGGGGUGUAGAAUAGGUAGGAGCUUUAGCGCUAGUAAAAUACUACUACCCUUAUUAUUUUUUUACUUAUUCGAUAAAGCAGAGCUAGGCCUUACUACCUAACUUCUAGCGUUUAAGGUCCUUUAUAGGCUAAUCUAGGUUAAAGAUAUUAUUAGGUAGGGAGUUUAGCUAGGGCGGCAUAUCUAUUAAACUAUAAUGCAGGUGUCCUAAGGGGGACUUAUAGAGAAUAGAAAUCUCUAGUAGAGUAAAAGGGCAAAAGUCCCCUUAAUUUUAAUUUUUAGUGUGAAUACAAACUAUAAAAGUGUGGCCUAUUAAUCCUUUAGUCCCUUAAAAUUUAAGGCUAGAGGUGCUAGAAAAGUUACCACAGGGAUAACUAGCUUGUGGCAGCUAAGCGUUUAUAGCAAUGUUGCUUUUUAAUCCUUUAAUGUUAGCUCUUCCUAUUAUACUAAAGCAGAAUUUAGUAAGCGUUAGAUUGUUCACCUACUAAUAGGGAACGUAAGCUAGGUUUAGACUGUUGUAAGACAGGUUAGUUUUACCCUACUAAUAACCUUGCCCUAAUAGUAAUACCGCUUAGUACGAGAGGAACUGCAGUUUUAGAUAAUUAGUUUUUGCGGCUAUCUAACUAGGCAUUGCUGCAAAGCUACUAUCUACUAGAUUAUAGCUAAACGCCUCUAAGUUAGAAUCUAUGCUAGAAUAGGGUAAUUUCCGCCUACACUAGUUAGAUACAAAUAGGCCUUUAGCCCAGAACCUUACUAGAUUAGCGUUAGUAGCCCUAUUAAAGUUAGAGUUAUUAGCUAGUGUAUUACAAUUGUACAGUGCGUAGGAU
rnacentral:rRNA from 2 species